GCUGGCGGCAGGCUUAACACAUGCAAGUCGAGCGGGCGUAGCAAUACGUCAGCGGCAGACGGGUGAGUAACGCGUGGGAACGUACCUUUUGGUUCGGAACAACCCAGGGAAACUUGGGCUAAUACCGGAUAAGCCCUUACGGGGAAAGAUUUAUCGCCGAAAGAUCGGCCCGCGUCUGAUUAGCUAGUUGGUGAGGUAACGGCUCACCAAGGCGACGAUCAGUAGCUGGUCUGAGAGGAUGAUCAGCCACAUUGGGACUGAGACACGGCCCAAACUCCUACGGGAGGCAGCAGUGGGGAAUAUUGGACAAUGGGCGCAAGCCUGAUCCAGCCAUGCCGCGUGAGUGAUGAAGGCCCUAGGGUUGUAAAGCUCUUUUGUGCGGGAAGAUAAUGACGGUACCGCAAGAAUAAGCCCCGGCUAACUUCGUGCCAGCAGCCGCGGUAAUACGAAGGGGGCUAGCGUUGCUCGGAAUCACUGGGCGUAAAGGGUGCGUAGGCGGGUCUUUAAGUCAGGGGUGAAAUCCUGGAGCUCAACUCCAGAACUGCCUUUGAUACUG
rnacentral:rRNA from 1 species